rnacentral:rRNA from 1 species
UGGGGAAUAUUGCACAAUGGGGGAAACCCUGAUGCAGCGACGCCGCGUGGAGGAUGACGGCCUUCGGGUUGUAAACUCCUUUUGCCAGGGACAAUGGUGAUGGUACCUGACGAAUAAGCCACGGCUAACUCUGUGCCAGCAGCCGCGGUAAGACAGAGGUGGCGAGCGUCGUUCGGAAUUACUGGGCUUAAAGGGCGCGUAGGCGGUGGUGUAAGUCUGGGGUGGAAUGCUACAGCUCAACUGUAGAGCUGCCUUGGAAACUGCAUUACUUGAGUCGGUGGGGGGAAGGCGGAAUUCCUGGUGUAGCGGUGAAAUGCGUAGAUAUCGGGAGGAAGGUCUGUGGCGAGGGCGGCCUUCUGGCACUUGACUGACGCUGGGGCGCGAAAGCGUGGGGAGCAAACAG